UCAUAGCGACGUUGCUUU
rnacentral:snRNA from 1 species